AACGAACGCUGGCGGCAUGCCUAACACAUGCAAGUCGAACGAACCUUUCGGGUCUAGUGGCGCACGGGUGCGUAACGCGUGGGAACGUGCCUUUAGGUUCGGAAUAACUCCCCGAAACUGGUGCUAAUACCGGAUAAUGUCUUCGGGGCAAAGAUUUAUCGCCUUUAGAUUGGCCCGCGUUUGAUUAGCUAGUUGGUUGGGGUAAUGGCUCACCAAGGCGACGAUCAUUAGCUGGUCUGAGAGGAUGAUCAGCCACAUUGGGACUGAGACACGGCCCAAACUCCUACGGGAGGCAGCAGUGGGGAAUAUUGCACAAUGGGCGAAAGCCUGACCCAGCCAUGCCGCGUGAAUGAUGAAGGUCUUAGGAUUGUAAAGUUCUUUCACCCGGGAUGAUAAUGACAGUACCGGGAGAAGAAGCUCCGGCUAACUCCGUG
rnacentral:rRNA from 1 species